rnacentral:rRNA from 1 species
AUUGAACGCUGGCGGAAUGCUUUACACAUGCAAGUCGAACGGUAGAGGGGGCAACCCCUCGAGAGUGGCGAACGGGUGAGUAAUAUAUCGGAACGUGCCCAGUCGUGGGGGAUAACGUAGCGAAAGUUACGCUAAUACCGCACACGAUCUACGGAUGAAAGCGGGGGAGCGAAAGACCUCGCGCGAUCGGAGCGGCCGAUAUCAGAUUAGGUAGUUGGUGGGGUAAAGGCUCACCAAGCCAACGAUCUGUAGCUGGGCUGAGAGGACGACCAGCCACACUGGAACUGAGACACGGUCCAGACUCCUACGGGAGGCAGCAGUGGGGAAUUUUGGACAAUGGACGCAAGUCUGAUGCAGCCAUUCCGCGUGCAGGAUGAAGGCCCUCGGGUUGUAAACUGCUUUUGUACGGAACGAAAAGGUCUCUCUUAAUACGGGGGACUCAUGACGGUACCGUAAGAAUAAGCACCGGCUAACUACGUGCCAGCCGCCGCAGUAA